rnacentral:rRNA from 1 species
AUUGAACGCUGGCGGCAGGCCUAACACAUGCAAGUCGAGCGGAUGAAGGGAGCUUGCUCCUGGAUUCAGCGGCGGACGGGUGAGUAAUGCCUAGGAAUCUGCCUGGUAGUGGGGGAUAACGUCCGGAAACGGGCGCUAAUACCGCAUACGUCCUGAGGGAGAAAGUGGGGGAUCUUCGGACCCCACGCUAUCAGAUGAGCCUAGGUCGGAUUAGCUAGUUGGUGGGGUAAAGGCCUACCAAGGCGACGAUCCGUAACUGGUCUGAGAGGAUGAUCAGUCACACUGGAACUGAGACACGGUCCAGACUCCUACGGGAGGCAGCAGUGGGGAAUAUUGGACAAUGGGCGAAAGCCUGAUCCAGCCAUGCCGCGUGUGUGAAGAAGGUCUUCGGAUUGUAAAGCACUUUAAGUUGGGAGGAAGGGCAGUAAGUUAAGACCUUGCUGUUUUGACGUUACCAACAGAAUAAGCACCGGCUAACUUCGU